rnacentral:rRNA from 1 species
UGAGUAACACGUGAGUGACCUGCCUUUUAGACUGGAACAACUUACCGAAAGGUGAGCUAAUGCCGGAUGAGGUAUAUAAGUGCAUGUUUAUAUAGGAAAAGUUGGGGAGACCUGACGCUGAAAGAUGGACUCGCGUCCCAUUAGCUAGUUGGUAGGGUAAUGGCCUACCAAGGCGACGAUGGGUAGCCGGCCUGAGAGGGUGGCCGGCCACACUGGGACUGAGACACGGCCCAGACUCCUACGGGAGGCAGCAG